UGAGUUUUACAACAGCAGAGGGACAGACUAGAACACGUUUUACUGUAGCUGACAGUGAGAGAGAGUUAUCUAUGUAGGACAACUAGCAUGUUUCAUGUUUGCUUGAGCAGCAGAGAUGCUAGCUUUAACGGAAGCGUGUAAAGCUGUAGAGAGACAAUAUACACUGAUAGGCAGUAUACAUUUGCUACUGUACAUUUCUUUGUAGUGCAGUGAGUGAGACGAGGGGUGACAACCUCUACAGGGAAACCUGCAGAACACACCAAACUCUUGCAAAAUCUGCUGGAGGCAGCGUUAUUAACCAGUGGAAUUGCUGUUUGUAAAUGUGCAGCACACAUGUGAGGGAAAGAUCCGGUUGCAUUAGGGAAAGUUUUUGCAGAUAAGAUCGCAAAAGAGGCAGCUUUAGUUAAACAUGGUGUUAACCUUUUAUCAGUACAGCAUUAGCAGACAUGCAGGCCCACUCACCUACUGCAGGACAAUAGUUGUGACUUACAGAGGGAGCAAGCUUGCAGGAUGAUUUUUUUUUUUUAUCUGUGUGAUAAACCAGUACUGCCUAAUAAUUUGUAUAAGACUGCUGCUAUUUUGAGCCAUUGGCUAUGCCUUGUCUCAAACAGGAGGGAGAUGAGCAGUCGUUAUACUCACUCUAGGAUUAUUAAAUACUUUUUAAAAAAAAAAAACUUUUUUGCAGAGAGAACUAAUGGAAUAGUAAAGUUAAGAUUUAGGAAGACAGGCAGGACAUGGUUAGACUGUAUAGAAUAAGUACACGAGGAUUACUCCAACAGAGAAUGGUCUGACUCUUUGAGAUUACACAUGUUAGAGCAUUUAGAGUUCCAGUCUUCUGUAGUGAUGAUAGAAAAGCAGAAGAGAGAGCAUAUUAGCAGAUUAGAUGCUUGAAAAUGUUUAAAAGUAAAGUAGUCAUGAGAACAAAUGAUCUGCCAGAUGAUUCUGUUUCUUCGCAGGAGCAGAGCCUGAAGUCUGGAGAUUGGAUGAUGAUAAGGCCAUGGAGAGGAAGUGCUGGUCCAGUCCAUGGUGGGAAGGUCCAUAUCGGAUGCUGCUGACGACGACCACAGCAGUGAAGAUUGCUGGAAGGAACACUUGGAUAUAUCAAGCGCACUGCAAGAAGGUGACACACAUCCAGGUACUCAUCAGAAUGGCUGGGAAUGUGCUGUGCAUCUUCUUGUGCCUGUGGACCCUGAGUGGGAUGACAGGGAGCGCACUGGAACAGAGCAAACCACACCCAGUACCAGCAUGGGUUUUCAACAACUACUGGUGGCAGUUUAAGAACACAACCGCUCACAUAAACAACGAGACCAAUGGUUAUGCUUGUGAUGCCACUGGCUACACAUUCUUCUGGACUGUGGCCCUGUAGCAUCACUGAGAGCGAGACAGUUUGUCUGGUUGCUUUAGCAACACAUCCGGGAACACUGCCAACUUUUCAACUGCUCUGAACCUGAAUGGAAGGUUGAUUCACCAGUAGCUGGGAAGGUGAACUGCUCUGGUAGGACAGACCUGCUCGUCUGACUCAAAGAAUAUGACUUGUUGAAGGACAUUAUACAGUUAAACGAACUGGAAACAGGCCAAUUGCCUAUGUGUAUGAAGGACAAUGGAUUAGCCCAAGUUGGAGAUUAACCAUGGAACAUGGCAACAUCACCUAUUCUUUUGUCUUCUGCAAGAAGGAUGUAAACAGAGAAGCCUUUUGUCUACAUUUACAUCAUGAACACUUGGGGUUUUGAGCCAAGAAGAUCAAAACACCUUGAUCCAAUUUCCUUUACAAAGCUUUUUCUGUGGUGACAACAGGACAGGAGAAGAGUUGUAAAUGCAGAUAAUUCACCAGUUGACUCUAACCCCCACAGGAUGCCUACAGUGAGAAGAUUUGGGGGGUUGAUAGGAGUCAUAAAGAAGGGUGUUGACUUGCUGCAGCUUUGAAGUUAGCUGAGAGCCAUAUGGACAAACAAUAAAGUCAACUGAUGCGUUUAAAUACCUAUGUCUGUAUACAGUUGGAUUGUAGUGACACAUGAUUUUUGAGAAUGAUGAUUCUUCUUGUUUGACCUUUGACAUUCAGUUGUUUACUUGAAGAAAUACAUAAUGAAUUGCACGACAGGAGUAGAUCCGCCACAAGGCUGGAUAGCUUGGUUACCGUCUGGUCCUUGGUGGCAUCUUCUUUUGAAAAUAUUAAUUCCUGUUUUUGAACUGUUGACAUUGAUUUGCUUAUGUAUAGGAUGUAGUUUACUGUGCAUGAAUGAAAUCUACACUGACACUGUCUGAACAAAGGGUGCAUAAGUUGAAAUUUAAGAACAAUGACAAAAAGGAGGGAAAUGUUAAGUCUAAUUGUUGAAUGUUGCCAUUGUGUUUCUUAAAUUUGUACAGUCUUAGUUUAAGCAGUAGGAUCAAAGCCAUUCCUUUGAUUCUGACCACCUCUCCAGCCACUCUGUGCUGGGGGAGGUUUUAUUGUAGAUACAUCCUAUCUGAAAGAUCUGUUUCUUUUGAUGUAAGCUUCCUGGGUUUAUGACCCUUUGGUCAGCAGGAGGUAACACACACACACACACCACACACACACACACUCAGUGUAUACAUUUACAUACAGUCCUUGUCUUUGUAACCAAAGGGGGGUUGCAAGGGGAGGUGCUUUGUAAACUAUUGUUUGAAGUUUGUCAAUAAAAGGCAGCGAGAGGAGGCCACCAUUUUUUGGGGGUUCUUUGUCGUGCUGGACACAGACGAGGCCUCCCUUGUGCAAGUAAUGGAUCGAUCGACUGUCUUGUUUUCUUCAUGAUGAAUAAGUCUC
ensembl:lncRNA